rnacentral:rRNA from 1 species
UACAGAGACUGCAAGCGUUAUUCGGAUUCACUGGGCGUAAAGGGUGCGCAGGCGGCCGAGUGUGUGAGGCGUGAAAGCCCGGGGCUUAACCCCGGAAUUGCACCGCAAACUACACGGCUAGAGCAUUGGAGAGGGUAGCAGAAUUCAUGGUGUAGCAGUGAAAUGCGUAGAUAUCAUGAGGAAUACCAGAGGCGAAGGCGGCUACCUGGACAAUUGCUGACGCUCAGGCACGAAAGCGUGGGGAGCAAAAGGG